UACGUAGGGCGCAAGCGUUGUCCGGAAUUAUUGGGCGUAAAGGGCUCGUAGGCGGUUUGUCGCGUCGGGAGUGAAAACACCGGGCUUAACUCGGUGCUUGCUUUCGAUACGGGCAGACUAGAGGCAUGCAGGGGAGAACGGAAUUCCUGGUGUAGCGGUGAAAUGCGCAGAUAUCAGGAGGAACACCAAUGGCGAAGGCAGCUCUCUGGGACGGUACUGACGCUGAGACGCGGAAGCGUGGGGAGCGAACAGG
rnacentral:rRNA from 1 species